UACAGAGGUCCCGAGCGUUGUUCGGAUUCACUGGGCGUAAAGGGUGCGCAGGUGGGUUUGCAAGUUCGAUGUGAAAGCCCCGGGCUUAACCCGGGAAUGGCAUUGGAUACUGCAGAUCUGGAGGAUCGGAGGGGGACUGGAAUUCUUGGUGUAGCAGUGAAAUGCGUAGAUAUCAAGAGGAACACCAGUGGCGAAGGCGAGUCCCUGGACGAUACCUGACACUGAGGCACGAAAGCUAGGGGAGCAAACAGG
rnacentral:rRNA from 1 species